GGGGUUGUGACUCAGUGGUAGAGUGCUGGCCUAGCAUGAGUGAGGCACUGGGUUUGAGCCUCAGCAUCCCA
rnacentral:tRNA from 1 species